UGUGUGGGUGAUGAGAACGUGACCUUAGGUAACGUCCUUUUUGACCGUUUUGGUUCAAAGCUCUGGACCUACCAAUGUUAGGCCUUGUCAUAGUUACACUGACACACA